GAUGAACGCUAGCGGAAGGCUUAAUACAUGCAAGUCGAGCGGUAGGUGGCUUCGGCCAUUGAGAGCGGCGCACGGGUGAGUAACGCGUACAUGACCUGCCUGUCAGAAGGGGAUAGCCCUGGGAAACUGGGAUUAAUACCCUAUGGUAUUGAUAUUAUGAAUGAUAUCAAUUAAAGUUGAGGCGCUGACAGAUGGAUGUGCGUCUGAUUAGCUAGUUGGUAGGGUAACGGCCUACCAAGGCGACGAUCAGUAGGGGGCGUGAGAGCGUGGUCCCCCACACGGGUACUGAGACACGGACCCGACUCCUACGGGAGGCAGCAGUAAGGAAUAUUGGUCAAUGCCCGCAAGGGUGAACCAGCCAUUCCGCGUGGAGGAUGAAGGCCCUAUGGGUUGUAAACUUCUUUUAGAUGGGAAGAAAUGCUAGAUGUAUCUGGUACUGACGGUACCAUCAGAAUAAGCACCGGCCUAACUCCGUGCCAGCAGCCGCGGU
rnacentral:rRNA from 1 species